CCUACGUGGAAAUAAUGUUAACUUGCUUGUAAGAAUGGUUGCUCACUGGUUUUGGGGACAGCAGAGCCUGUGUCCUUGAUUUCAGCUAUAAAAUGACAGACUUUUUAGGAAAUACUCACCGGCACCUCAGCUGAUUGCCUGUCCUGAAGAUCAUUCUGAGUGGCUUGACAGUAUCUGAGCCUACCUGACUGUCUGAUUGUGAAAUAUUGAGCUGGGCUGUGAGCUGGAGCAAGUGGGGGCCUGAAGACUGAAAAAGAAGAGUUUGCAUCCUCAGAUACAGCUGAAAUAACUUGUCUUCUUGGGCAGAGCGUCCAUAGAAGGAAGUAUUUAAAUAUUUAUGUCACUGGGGAAGCCAGAAAAUACCUGAACAAAACUCUCAUGUUGGCUGUAAGUUCCACGUUUUUUGACUCCAUGGCAAAAUCCCAUGAAGUUAAGCAAAAGUAGCUUAAACUCUAUUACCUUGUGAUUUUGUUUUGCCUUUUAUUUGGAGUGUGUGCGUAUGUUGUACUAGUCUCUCUUAGUUUUCAUUUGUCUGUGCGCAAGAGAUUCCUAACCAAGUUCUGUCACGCACUGAGUCAGAUUCUAUUGUGUUAAUGUUCGGAUUUAAAACUGCUACUAUGUGAUUUCACUGUCAUACUUUCUUUUAAGACCACUGUGUCAUUUUGAAGGGGAUGCUGGAAUAAGAACUUUCUGUAACUGUGUCUAGUGACAGAGAUGUAUAAGGAAAAAGUAGGCAUAAAUCACAUAGGCAUGUAUGAAUAUAAAAGUAAGUGGUGCUAUUCAUUAGCCAUGUGCUAAUGUGCUUCUGGAGCUGGAUCACUGUGUAGGGAGUCAAAGCUGAAGGAUGUUGUCAUUGUUUUAAAGUCUCCUAGGGCAAUACUUAGAGAAAUUCCUCCUUGUAUUAACUUUUGUGAGUGGUGAUAAUCUGUUCUAUUAGUUUGGGAUUAUGAUCCAUUGGCUAUGCUAGCCUGUUGAUUCACUGUGGUACUGUCAAGCUCUGUAUUUAAUCAGCUCAAGUAACUGUGGAGUGUUAUUUCUAAAGGUUUCCUGCUUUUAUGUUAUUUAAUUGACGUUCUUUGCAUUAUUUUGAUUUGGAAAAAGCAAAAGAAGGUGCAUAUUUUCAGUAAUUAGCAUGUGGACUUAUUCUCUUUACAGUUACAGAAUACUUGCAUCUUGAGGUACAAAAUUUGCAAGCUCUGUGUUCUCAUCAAAAUUAGUUCUUUACUGCUUCACAGCAUGAAGCCUUACGCUUUAAUUGAGUAUAUAACUGUUUUUUGUUGUUCUGGAUAAGAAAGUAGUAAUGACAGCCAUUUGUCAUUUGUACAAGCCGGUGUGUUAAGAUACAUAAUGUUGAAAUGGGUAAACAAAAACAUUUCCAUCAAACAAGGGCUUAAACUGAGGUAAAGGAGGAAGAUGAAAAGGUGCCUUUUGGUACUGACUGGUUUGUAAACCAGCAGAUCCAAAACUGGGCAGUGCUGUGUCAUCAGGCUGAAGACAAACACCUAGCACAGAUUACAAACAAGGCCAUUAGAAAUCCAGGAGGACUGAUGUACAGCUGUGCCAUGCCUGCUUCCAGUGCAAUUGUGACCCAAAGUGGUAAAAGACAGAUUUCACGAGGACCAUUCUUUCUCCCCAUGUUAUUUACAGAGCUGAAAACAAAAGCUACUUGGGUUCGUUUCUAGGAAAAAAAAAAAAGGUUUGAAAUGCUUUGUUGGACCCUCUGUUUUAAAUACAGAAUGUGGUGUUACUCAGUUACAGAUCAAUCUGCUUAAUCUGACCUGUACAUCUUUCAUAUGUUUUUCCUCAUGACUGUACUGUUCUCCCUUUGUAACAGUCAACCCUAAGUCAACCCUACUUUUUCCUCUUGCUAUUUGAACAUUAUUUGAACACCAUUAAGAGAAAUCCUGGAGUCCUUUAUUUGAAUGUUUUCUUUUAUUGAUGCAGAUAUGUAUGAAUACAUGAAGGCAACAUUCUGAAGAAGCCUCGGGACGUGUUCUUUUUAGGGCAUAUGCUUCUUUGGUGUUGUCUUUUAUUUUUUUUUAUUUUAUUUUUUGAACAAAAUAGAGUGAAAAUAGAGGUAGAUUUUUAGAUACGGAAAUUCUGCUUUUUACUUUUGGUUUAAGGUAAACAUGCACAAGGGUUGAAAGCUUUUUUUUUUCCUCACUUUACUUAGGAGGUUUGUAAAGCAGGAAAUACAUAUGAUGUAUCAGGACACCGGAGAACAGAUUCUUUCAUCUUGCAUCUAAAUUUUUUUCCAGCUCUGAUAUAUGCUUGCCAUGCAAACUUAUAAUGAGAAAUUGUUAGCUGUUGUAGUAAAUCUGGUGGAUUUACUAGCCUGAGACAUCUGGGGAGAUUUCGCUUACCCUGAAACAAAUGCGCAUCUAUUCAGAUGUAUUCAACAAGUAGCUAUUUGUUUGUCUCUAAAGCUGUUAAAGGAACAACUGAACUUGUGGUUUUUCCCUUGGCUCUAAAUCUGUUUCUGAAGGUUUUUAAGUGUCCAAAGAUUACUAGGUCAUCUAAGAUAGGAAAUGCUACUGAAAUUGGAUUUGGCUUGAUAAAACCAAUAAAAUUUCAUGAUGCUGGGUAGCUGACCCAUAACUGAGGGCUUGACACCAAAAAUUGUAUGGGGACCGUUUCUGAAAGGAUCCACAAUAAAGCCAGUAAAGAGCUGAAAGAUAAGAACCCGUGAAGAACAGAUUUUGUAGUUAGGGUAACACAGACAACGAGACAGUCAGCUUUUUGUAGAUAUAACCUGAAUGGGAAUUUCUCUGCAGUGUAGAAAAUGUAGAUAAAUGCUUGUUUGUCAUUUCCACUACCACAAUUUUUCUGCCUUUUACUACAAUCAAGAAGAUCAGAGCAUAAAAAAAGAACUGAUUUAAGUAACAGAAGUACACAGAUUACAAGUACUGGACAAUAUGGAACAACCUAAGUCCUGUCAUGUCUUUCUUCCAUGUUUUGGUCUGAGGUGGUAGUAAAUACUGAGUACGGGGUUUACUACUUCUACUCAGAGUGCAAUUAAAAGUAAUGUAUUAGUAACAAGAAUUUAAAUGUGUUUCCAGGCUGUUUGCUGGGAUCUUGGCUCUUUAUGCUAUCUACAAAAAAAAAUAAAAAUGAUGCAGGUGUUCUCUUGAGGAGAAGGUUUAAAUACAAAUAGCUUUUGCUAGCUUUUAAGAAUUUGUUGACUUGUUUAAUUCACUGUAGGCUGCAGAAAUAAUUACAAAAUUGUUCUUCAAUUUCUAACUUUCCUAGAAUCACAGAAUCACUAAGGUUGGGAAAGACCUCUAAGAUCACCCAGUCCAACUAUCAGCCUAUUCCCACCAUGCCCACUCACCACGUCCCUCCGUGCCACAUCCACAGGGUUCUUGAAUAUCUCCAGGGAUGGUGACUCCACCACCUCCCUGAGCAGCCUGUGCCAGUGCAUUGCCACUCUGUCCGAGAGGACAUCUGUCAUCAUUUUUUGACAUCUGUCAAAAAAUACCUGAGAGAAGGUGAGAACCUGUCUGAUCAACGUGAGGAAUUAUCAACAAGAUCAAUCUUCCCAAAUGGAGGCCUACUGAUGCAAAACAAACAAAAAAACCCAAACAAACCCAAAUGAUGCAGUGAGAUUGGGUUUGGAUAAGAGGUGGAGCACUUCUACAUCUGGCAAAGAGUAGACUCCAGUGCAAAUACCACGUUCCUUCUGCUGCUGAAAAUUCAGAAAGUCAACCAGUCAGACAGUCGUCACAGUCAGUGCAGGACCAAAUGGAGUGAUACUUCAUUGGGGUGAAUAUAACUGAUAAGUUUUGAGUAUCUAUGGGCUUUCUUGCAGAGGCAGUUGGGAAGUCACGUGGCUGCCUCUUACGUGAAAUCUUCCUUGAUUAAAAACUGUGUUGCUGAGGUUUUGUCUUCCUCUUCUCCAAGGGUGCAAGACUAAAAUUGAUUGCUGCCACACUCGUGACGUGUGGAAUAAGUUUCAUGCUCCACUGUCUCUUGGUCUAUGCAUGCUGUAUGUGAGACUGAUGUGAAAUAUGUUUGGGGUUGUUUCCGAUUGGCUGCGGAUUUCUCUGAACUAAUGUGAGUAGUUUCCCACGUGAUUUUUGCUCCUAGCGCCCUUGCUGGAGCUAAAGGGAAUUGGGUAGAAAAAGCAGUGUGGGAAAAUGUGCAUUAGUCUUGGGGAAGAUACAAGUCUGUCUCAAUUCACCAGGCAUCUGUUGCAGGCUUAUAGCCAUAGCAAAAUUCACGGGUGGUAAAGUUAUUUUAUUCAAAACAGAUCUGUGUGUUUUCUUAAAUGGAGAUGUCUGUGUAUGCAAACAUUUUUGUCUUACUGCAUGUGUAGGCUCUGGGGGUGACUGGUGCUUAAGGGGGAGCGAGGCUUACGUUACAACAGUCACCACUGUCGAUUACUUUUUCGUAUCUAGGCAAUUUUUUUUCUCUUGCUUCAUUGCACAAAAGAGGAAAAAAAAUAUUGUGCAGAAAAGCUGGAGGGAUGAAACAUACAGUGCCAGUGUCCCUGUGCAAUCAUUUUUGCAAAGCUGUGAACUGAUUGCCUGGUAUGGUGUCCUCUGAAGCUCUGAAGGUGGAUUCUGAAUUGGAGAAGAUCUGUGUUGUGGUCAUCCUAACCUGGAUGAUUGUGUAUGUCAGAGGCUGUGUUGCCAUUCAGCAGAUGGAUUGGAGAGCCGGGCAGAGAGGAAAUCGAUGAGGUUCAGCAGGGUGAGGUGCAGAGUCCUACACCGAGGAUGGAAUAACUGCAUGCAUCAGUACAGGUUAUGGGCUGACCUGCUGGAGAGGAGCUCUGCAGAGAAGAACCUGAGUGUCCUGGUGGAUGACAGGUUGUGGAAGGGUCAGGAAGUUCCAGCAACACAAACCUGAACGAGGAUGUGCUGUAGGAUGCACCACCCAUCUGCAUGCUGAACAUAAUGAUGCCAGAAGUACUGCUAAAGGCAUGGACAAGAAUUGGGAUCUGAAGUUGGACUGGAAGCCACCGGAGUGAAUUCUUCUGAAGUUCUAUGUGACAUAGAGCUAUGAGCGCUAGGCUAGUUCAUGAGAGGGGGAGUUUAUGACAACAGAGAAGCCUAUAUAGUGAAGAAUGAAACAAGUAAAAGCAGAAGCAUCCUCUUUGCCUUAUGAUUGUAGGAAGUGAUAAACUUCGCUGUGACACUAGUGUGAUGACUUUCUGUAUGCUUUGUUUUACCACUUAUUUGUUCCACUCCAGUAAUAAACCACAGAAAGAAAAAAAAAGAAUAUAUUGAAAUAAAUAUUUUGAACCUUCUCCUUUGCUAUGUGAUAAUAGCAUAAAUUUCAUGUUGGGCAGAGCUGGCCUAACUGCUCUACCAACACAGGAGAGGCAGCAAAGUUUUCCCUUCCUGUAAAUUAAGGUGUCUAAAAAUCUGCUGUGUGAUGAGUCUGAGGAGGACUCACUGUGCAGCUCCUUGUAGAACUCCCAGCUGA
ensembl:lncRNA